rnacentral:ncRNA from 1 species
CCAGAAGAGGCGCGUUGCCCAGGUAAACGGUGUUUGAGGAACCAGUCCUGUGAAAACAUCUGAAGGGGAGCAACGCCGAGAUGACUGAACUACCGGUUACGUUCACCAUCGGCUACAGGGGCUGAAUCCCCUGGGUUGUCACCAGAAACGUUCGCAGUCGCACGUUUCGCAAGUGGUGGAGCACUUCUGGGUG